ensembl:lncRNA
GACCUCAUAUAAAUACCGGUGGUACCGUAUCCUCCACAGAAAUGAGAACAUGUUUACUGUCUUACAUAUUUAUAAGAGCUGUUUGCAUGUUAAUUAUUGGUUGAUAAUCACAAUCAUGCAAUCUGAUCCGACCCUAAUUUAUGUACUAAUUUGUAUCCAUCAGCACAAAGUUUCACAAUGUAAACCCAGGAUGCCAAUAUAGCUCAAAUUAUUUUCUUUCAGUAUUACAAUGUAAUUCUCAAGCGAGGAUGAAGCUCAGAUAAUUCACUGCACUAUUAGUAUCAGUAUAUCACCGUCAGGCUGUUUAUCACAUUAUAUCUACAUUAUGAUGAUGCACAGGUUUAAUUACAGAUAGAUGGAUGCUUCAUUCGUCUUUCCUGUUGCCGACGUCUUGAUUAAAAAUGUUUAAAGGAUUAUCUAUGGGACUCCUAUUUGUGUCCUUGUGUUUGUCUUUUCAACUUUCAUCCACUCGUCUGAUUUAUUCCCCUUGUCUAUAAAUAAGUAGACGGGGUGCAUGUGAUGGAUUAGUCUGUUGACAUUGUACCGACUGCAGGUAAACAAUUACUAUUCAUGCUUCAUCGUUGCAGAAUCUAUACCAGGAUACUGCCACUUAGCGAGGGACAAAAGGUUAAGGUGCCAGCUAUUGUUCCGCAUUUGGUCAAAUGUCAUUCAUUUUUUAUCUGCUGCAAUAACAGAAAAUAUGAAACUUCAGGUGUGAAGAACCAAGCUGAUGCUUUCUGCGACUGAAAGGCCUUCAUAUAAAAAAACUACCCCCCCCCCCCCUUUUUCCCCCCUGGAAUCAGAGAAGGCCUGGUGCUAAACCAGUGCAGCAUGGUCAGUGUGUGUGUGUGUGUGUGUGUGUGGACUAUGAGUAUCCUUUUACAUUGUGAAACGCACACUAGUGUACGUCCACAUCCAGCCCCCUCCUCGCACGUCAUUCAUUGUUUAUUCAAAACGCAGUGUUGCUCCCACCCUCAGCCCCUGUGGGCUGGAUCAGUCUGCGGUCAUUAUACUGAUAUGAGCAGUGAGUCACUGGGAAAAGAAAGAGGAGGUUAAAUCUCUGCAUGCGUGCGUGUGUGUGCGUGUGUGCGUGUGAUUGUAUGUAGUAGGCCUACAUCUGUCAGAGUGUGAUUACAGUGUUAGGAGUUUAUGAAACAGCAUCUGUAUCAACAAUUAUUCAUGUCCCUUAGGCCACAGAGUGAAAGGCCUUUCGCAGACUAGACUGCGGAAAAGAGGAUUAAGCGGAAUACUAUGAAGAUGUGUGGCAGAGGAAAACACGGACAAUGCCGGCAUUCAAAUGCUAUUCAGCGGAUCUUUUCCCUCCGACAUGAUUUGUUUGCUCAAUCCGAUUCAACAAGAUUGCUUUUGUUUGCUCAUGUUUUAGCUGCAAAAAUCAAUAGAAUUGGUUGUUGUUCAUGGUGAAGCGGAAGCCAAUGACAAUGUCAAAGUCUGUCGCCAGCUAAAAAUGAGGGCUAUAUAUUUGUUUAUUUUCUUACACUGGCUGUUGUUUGUGUGUGUGUGUGUGUGUGUGUGUGUGUGUGUGUGUGCUUGAUCACUCAGACACACACACAGAGACAACAAAACAGUUUUUUUAUUAACUGAAAGCGACCUGAGGCUAAUUGUCACAGUUCUGUCCCAGUGUUUUCAACGAGGUGAACAAAGUCAGAGGGAGGAACACAAGUGGUCAGAUGAUCAGAGAGUAUGUAGACAAACCCAGAGCUUAACCAGAAUUACAAUAUCAGUAAAAUCAUUCAGGAAAAUUGUGCGCAUGCACAAAUACAGUAACCAGGGAAUCAGGUUUAGAACUUUGUUUACUACAUUUGGCUUUUGCUAUUUCAGAUUUGUUUGUUAAUCCAAGCAAUUCAUGAGCAUUUUUAUUUAGUUGUUGAAAGUAAAACUAUUGCCUCCUUUUUGUACUACAUAUACUACUAUUUCAUCUUUAACAGUGCAUUGUGUAGUGCAGGAAGAUCCAAUGAUUUGUAUGCACAUCCUACGUAAAUCAACCAAGUUACAAUACUAUACUAACAAUACUUGUAACACUCACCAACACAAUUUCUAAAAACAGAACCAAAGCAGGCAGAAACAAACCGGUCACUACGACUGCUAACAAGAAACAAAAAGCAUUGGCGCGGGAAAGGCAGGUGUUUGUGUGGAGACACAUUAACAGGCAGUGACAGCGGCAGGCUGCUGUUUGGACUCAGCUGUGAUGGAGGGACAAAGCUGCGGCCCGUGGUUCAUCGGCAGAGACGUUACUGGGCCAUUUCUGUCUGAGGUGGCGCGAUGCCUUGUCACCUGACGCUGGGCUGCUUUGACAGGCUGCAGCACCUCGGCUGACGUGUUCGGAGGACCUCGUGCACACGCGCCAUCGGUUUCAUGUUGUCUCGCGGACCCGCCCUCACGUGGAGCAUCUCUGCGUCUUCCACCUGCUUUAAGUUAUUGAGCCUUGAUAAAUUGCAUCUUGAGAAAAACACUUCUAACUAAAUCGUAUGGAUGAACUUUUUAAUAAAACAAGACAAAAUUUAGUUUAACUUUCUUUUUUUUAACAUAUGAGAGUGUAGACAUAAACGGAAACCUCUGAUGGCCUCGUACGGUAAAUCAACAACUAUCUUUAGGAAAAUUAGAAAGGUUUAACCUCAACUCAUGUCUCUUAACACAUUUGCAUUGGUAUAAUAUCAAAUUGAGUCUGUGUGGCUCUUCUGAGAAUCUUUACUGAAACUACUAGCUUAGUUAAGCAUGAAGACAAGCAGGUGUUAACAGCCAGACCUUUGAACGGCAAAAAUAAAUUCCACUUAAAAGCAGCUCUGAAUACAUUCUAAGUUUGUAGAUACCAGGAAGUCCACGGCCAGGCGAUCUACCUUGUUAAUCAGUGAGCUUCAGAGAUGGAUUCGGUUCCUACCUUUGAACGAUGCUCGGGUAGUUAUUCCUGCCAGUUUACAGUCUGCGCGCUAUGCUAUGCUAACUCUUGAGAGAUCAGAUUUGAGAGUUAUGUCAAUUUUCUUUAAGACAUUACGCCAGAACACGGAACAGAUCCUUUAACGUGUUUAAAACAAUGUUCAUCGGAGGGAAAUCUCAACCUGACUCUUUUGAUUUGCAAAACAGGUCAGAGAUUUGUUGGCAAGAAUCUCUUCUUCACUCUACAGAAGGACAUGAUACACGAAAGGUCAGAAAAAGCAUUUGGGAGACAGCUGCUUGUGUUGCAACUAUUGAUUGAACUGUAGUAGGCCAUAGGGAAAACAUGCCAAUUGUUAAAGUGAGCCGUAAACCCCUUUAAACAUUAACCUGUAACGGCCUGCGGCAGGCAUGCAGCUCCGCGCUUCCAGGUAUUGUGCGUCUGUUUCCUUUCCUGACGAAAGAUGAAUUGCAAGACUGUAAUUCCUUUGUUGCAUUCUGUGAGCUAAUGAAUUCUCCGUAUCACACCGAAUGCGUGCGUGUAUGUGCGUAUUGACACUUCUCUAUCCUGUCUAUAAAAACAAUACAUUGUCCGGUAAAUCUCAGGGGGGGGGAUCGGUUUCACGUCCCCUCCUCUUCCUCCUCCUCUAACCCUGAGGAAUGGAAGACAUUUCUUGUGAGAACAAACCUUUUAUUGUCUUCCCUUUUCGAGAUGUAAGGGAAGCGAUGCGUUAUAUUAUAUCAUCACUCUCCCAGACGUCCCCUGAAUGACCCCAGAAUCAACGAUUCAGCUAAAUGGACCUAUUGUUGCUCAUUUUAAUCUUAACCUUUCAACCAUCUGAUGAAAUGUGUAUGUGACUUAAAAGUGAGAAAAAAAACAAAACAACGUCUGUCUAAAUCAUUUCCUGUGUCUAUUCAACCAACAUCUCAGAUAUCUGAUCGGGCUCCAGCAGCCGUCCACUCCUAAGGGAGAACAUCCACCAUCCUGUUCGAGCCUUAAGCUGUGACUGCCCUAUCUCUUCUUUUCUUGUCCCCUCUUUGCGGCAGCACCGGAGGGGGGCUCCAAAGAGGGGCCGUCGCCCAGGGGCAACCCUGACUGAAUUACCCUUCACCCCGUGAGGGUGCAAGUUCGGGUCAGUUGCUAUCGACGAGCUUCUGCCGAGCUCUGGAGUAGGUGGAGGGAAGAAGGGAGGUAUUGUUGUCCCUAUUUUGCGGCGCUAUUACUGGAGUAGAUGUUGCUGCAGUUAAACAAAACAUGCACAACUACAACUCAGAGCCAAAGAAAGUAAAGUCAGCGUACAAAUCUCCCCAAACACAAUGUCUGCAUUAGGCUAUUCUCUGGUGGCAGUGGGGUGCACACAUUCCUUCCAGUGACUGACAACUAAAUAAGCUGUGGAAUUACAAUGCUGUUUCUCCCUUUGUACAUGUUCCCGUACACAAGCAGGGCCCGUAUUGGAUAACUAAUUAGGCAAAGAAAGUAAAGUGUGAAAUCCUGUAUCGCUGAAAGGUCUGAGAGGGGGAAAGCGGCAAUGCAUUCUGAGACAAGCGACUGUUUGGUGGACCUUAUUGAUUCCGAGGCAGAGGCAGAGAUCAAUGAAAAGAAACAGACUGAGACAAAGAGUGGCAUUUAAGGGUGGAAAAGGCUGACAUUUUCUCCAUCACUGUCACGGCCGCGGCCAUAAAGCAGCAGAAAAUAUUAAAACAUUUCUCAUCUGCGCGGGAGUAUUGGCAGCAGAAAUUGUUUUCUCCGCGGUGUGAUACUCGGGCUGAACUCCCCGGUACAAUCCCCGGGGACUGCAGAUUGGUGCCUGUGACAUAUCGGCACCAGCAUUUACACACACCUGCCACUCAUUCCCAAACAGCCCAGGAGCAGGGCUGUAGAGGGCAGAUAGCAGCAGAGGAAGCGGCUGCUUGGACUGCUGUCAAGGUGGGUAGGUGUGGUGGAAUUCAUCACAGAUAACGCUCUUAUGUUUGCAGGCCGCGGAGAGGGCUCCUAUUAGUCAGCAAGGCCCGCGACUCCGUGUGCCGGCUAUGCAUACGUAAUGAAUCUAAGAUCCGAGAUGGCUGCCUCGGUACGACGGUGCUGGUACUGUGAACCCUUUUACUGCCCCCGUGAGUUCGCUUCGUUCAUCUUAGUUGGUGUUUACGUGCCGCCGGCGGGCAACGUGCAGGAGGCACAGGGGACACUCACCGACCAGAUACGGCGAGUGGAGCUGACCAACCCGGACUUUAGACGUUGUCCUCGCAGACUUUAACAAAGCAAAUCUCAGCCAUUAACUUCCAAGAUACAAACAGUUUUAUUAAAUGCCCAAUCAGAGAGGAGAACACGCUGGAUCACUGUUACACCACAGCAAGCAGGGCUUAUCACGCCGUCCCUCGUGCUGCACUGGGACACUCUGACCACUUCAUGGUCCAUCCGAUUCCUGCAUACAUGCAGAAACUAAAGCUCUGCAAACCUGUGGUGAGGGAAUUCAAGAAGUGGACCAGUGAGGCGCUGGAGGAUCUUCGGGCGUACUUGGACUGCACAGGCUGGGAUGUUUUCAGGACUGCUACUAACAGUCUGGAUGUGACUUCUUGCAUUGGCUGCUGUGUACUGUGUACCAUCAUGAACCCUGGUUUACAGCGGGACUCCGGACGGACUUCAGCUCGGCUUUCAACACCAUCAUCCCGUCUCUGCUGCCAAUGGCGAUGCGGGUGCACUUCUACACGGCCAACAUCGAGUCCAUCCUCUGCUCCUCCAUCACCGCCUGGUACGCCGCAGCCACAGCCAAGGACAGAGAGGGUGAUCGGCUGCAAUCUGCCGUCUCUCCAGGACUUGUUCGCUUCUUGAAGUGGGGCUAAAAAGAUUGUAGCCGACCCCUCUCACCCCGGACGAAACCUGUUUUGUGUCCCUUCCGACUAGCUAACUUUCACUUGCUGGUGCACUUUUUAAACUUUUUAUUUGAAACUUUUAAUUUUAAUUUAAAUGUUGAUCUUGCACUAUGUUGUCCAUUGUACUGUCUACUGUCACGCACCAACCGCCAACCCCGAAGCAUCGAAACAUACAGCGUUGAGAAAAAAGUAGGACCAUGUCUGAGAGACAAUUUUAUAUCUUGAAGGAUUCAGCAAGCUUUGAGAACUCACAAAAUAUUCAAUAAGGCAGCUCGGGCUUUUUCAUUUGCAUUAUCAAUGGCUACCGGUCUGAAUCCCAUCUUUCAAUUAUCAUCCUUUGUUAAGGGCUUUAUUCUGCUUGUCAGAUGUGAGUCAUCGCCGGGUUCUCCCACAACGUUAGGCCAAUGUAUCCUAAACGUCGGAGGGCCGGGAGCAAGUCUGAGGCGGUAAUGAGUUUGUGUGAGAAGACGGGGUCAGGACACAGUGUGUGUGUGUGUGUGUGUGUGUUAAUUAAUCUGUUCCCGGGUGGGAGGAACUGAAGCGAGAUGAUGAGAUUUAAGAGAGUAAAUGGGUGUGUGGCACUCGAGCUGUCCUCCGUUGAGUGAGCGAGCAGGGUUAGCGGCUGGGCAAAUGGCCGUCGCCAUGGUAACCAGAUAACUUCCCCGGGCCCCCGAGUCACUCAGUCAGUCAGUCAUGACAGAAAAGCCUUGGAAGAUCAAACAGAAAGAACACGGUGUCCCCAGACGUCCUCAAACAAGACAAAAGGGUGCAACGGUAGAAAAUCUGCAAAGUUAACGUGUGUGUCCGUGUGAGUUUAUCAUCAGUUUCCGAAAACAUAAAAAAAAAAUGUCUAACUUUCUCAUUACAUGGCACUGGGCCUGAAUUGUGACUACUCUGAUAGCAUCAACACCUGCCAGUAAGAUUGUUAGAUCCAAAAAGCCUGCUUUGAGGGAAUAGCACCUGUCUGUGCAUCCUGCACCACUGUCAGCUCGUCUCGGCGCGCGUAUAUAGGAUCCGCUUUAUUUUUUCCAAGGGACAUUCUUGGGAGUCCAGGUGUGUGCCAGAUCCGCUGCCUGUGCCCAGGGCUCCUGAUGGCAUCCAAGCCCCCGUGGUAAUCAGCCCACUCUGCCUGCUGUUGCAGCCCGCCUGCCUCCUCUUCCUCCAGUGGCUCGUUUCGGAAACAUCUGGUGGUUUACAUGCAGCACACCACCUGCCAGACGCCUCGCAGGCAGUGGCACCGCUCACACCUCUCGAACGCGGCUCACAGCAACGCAG